GGUUUUCAGAACGCCUGUAGGAGACAAGCCCCUUCCUCGACCCAUCAAAGUUACGCACCACUGUUCCAGGUGGCGAGAGGAAGUUCCUAAGUCUUAGAGUCGAGAGCGUUGUCGGUUUUGCUGUUUUUCCAGUAACCCCAGAGAUCCUUUGGCACUUUCCCGAGUCUGAGAGUCAGGAGGGUUGUCGGUUUCACUUGAUGCUUUGCUGUUUUUUCUGAAGUCUUUUUCCAGUCACCCCAGAGAUCCUUAGGCACUUUCAUUAAUAUAUUUCUUCUCACCCAGCAGUACUCCAGGUCAGCACGACCUCGUAGGAAUCUGGUUUUCGUAACGCCUGUAGGAGACAAGCGCCUUCCUCGACUAGUCAAAGUUAUGCACCACUGUUCCAGAUGGCGAGGGGAAGUUACUAAGUCUGAGAGUCUAAAGCGUUGUCGGUUUCGCUUUAUGUUUUGCUGUUUUUCCCGAAGUCUUUUUCCAGUCACCCCAGAGAUCCUUUGGCACUAUCCGGAGUCUGAGAGUCAAGAGCGUUGUCGGUUUCACUUGAUGUUUUGCUGUUUUUCCCGAAGUCUUUUUCCAGUCACCCCAGAGAUCAUUAGGCACUUUCGUUAAUAUAUUUCUCCUCACACUGCAGUACUCCAGGAUGCCUGUAGGAAAGCCAUAUCUUCGGGAGCCAUAUGAAUUUGCCUUCACCUGAAUAUGACAGGAGACAAACAACUUUGACCCGUCGCUGGAAGUGGUGGUAACCAUCAUUCGGGUGAGAACUUACCUAAUUCUGCAACAAAUUUUUUUUAAAAAUUUUAACAUCCAUUAAUAUUUGAUUUGUUUAUAAAGCAUGUUUUUUU